UACGUAGGGGGCUAGCGUUGUCCGGAUUUAUUGGGCGUAAAGGGCGCGUAGGCGGCCCGGUAAGUCAAAGGUGAAAUCCCUCGGCUCAACUGAGGAACUGCCUUUGAAACUGUCGGGCUUGAGGCCGGGAGGGGGUAGCGGAAUUCCCAGUGUAGCGGUGAAAUGCGUAGAUAUUGGGAGGAACACCGGUGGCGAAGGCGGCUACCUGGACCGGUUCUGACGCUGAUGCGCGAAAGCGUGGGUAGCAAACAGG
rnacentral:rRNA from 1 species